GACGAACGCUGGCGGCGUGCUUAACGCAUGCAAGUCGAACGGAAAGGCCCUGCUUUUGUGGGGUUCUCGAGUGGCGAACGGGUGAGUAACACGUGAGUAACCUGCCCUUCACUUUGGGAUAACUUCAGGAAACUGGGGCUAAUACCGGAUAGGAGCUCCUGCUGCAUGGUGGGGGUUGGAAAGUUUCGGCGGUUGGGGAUGGACUCGCGGCUUAUCAGCUUGUUGGUGGGGUAGUGGCUGACCAAGGCUUUGACGGGUAGCCGGCCUGAGAGGGGGACCGGCCACAAUGGGACUGAGAGACGGCCCAGACUCCUACGGGAGGCAGCAGGGGGGAAUAUUGCACAAUGGGCGGAAGCCUGAUGCAGCGACGCCGCGUGCGGGAUGACGGCCUUCGGGUUGUAAACCGCUUUCGGCUGUGACGAAGCGGUAGUGACGGUACCGGGUGAAGAAGCACCGGCUAACUACGUG
rnacentral:rRNA from 1 species